GGAGUCUGGGCCGUGUCUCAGUCCCAAUGUGGCUGAUCAUCCUCUCAGACCAGCUAGAGAUCAUCGCCUAGGUGAGCCUUUACCUCACCUACUAGCUAAUCCCAACUGGGCACAUCUGAUAGCGACUCGCGUCUUUAACCCUCAGGUAUUAUGCGGUAUUAGCAGCCGUUUCCAGCUGUUGUCCCCCUCUAUCAGGCAGUUUCCCAGUCCUUACUCACCCGUCCGCCACUCGUCAGCACAGAAAGCAAGCUUUCUCCCUGUUACCGUUCGACUUGCAUGUAUUAGGCCUGCCGCCAGCGUUCAAU
rnacentral:rRNA from 1 species